GAGCGCGGCGGGGAGGGGAAGCCUUCAGCAGGCUGGCCAGGAACGAAGGCGGCAGCAUGGCAGCAGGCUGCUCUGAGGAUACACUGGAAGGAGGACAAAGCACCCAGGAAAGGAACAUUUUCAAUAAAAAUGGCGUUUUCACAUGAAUAAGGAAGCCCCUGGGAUGAACCCUGUGACACAGGACAGAGGUUCAAGAUGUGGCCUGUGGAUUGACCACUUCUGAGGGUGCACAAAGGACCCCUGAGAAAGAUGAACCAAACGAGUGAUCUGUGGCUGGGGUUUCCCUAGGGCAAAAAUCCAGGCAGUCAGGACUCUCUCCUGUGAGCACAAUGUGUAACAACCUGGCCGAAGAUCUCACUCAACAGCAGCUAGCCUGUUGCACAGCAGUCUGAUUACACAUCCCUGUGCACUUCCAAACCAGCCUCAUCUGGGCAGAGAUUAGUCACUGUAAACUCCUGGACUAAGGUCUGCUGCCUGAUGGAUUUCUGAGGACUAGAGACCCUGCUACAUGCAUGCCCUGAAACCUGUAGAAGCAAGAGCCCCAGCUGACUGCUGCCACAUGCUCCCUUGGAAUCCCAUGUAGGGGCAGGCAAGUCAAGGUGACUUGCCAAGUCCCUUUUGAGAUAACACAGCAGGAAAUAGGUUUGAACUGUGCUGGCUUUGCUCCCUGAGCACUCAAAAAUUAUACCCUUUGAAAACUACAUUAGGUUCCAUAUAUAUCUUCCUUCAUUUGACUUCUGACUGAGGUUAUAACUUGUCAGCAUUGCAAACUGCACAAGUCUCUUUCACAAGACCUUCUGGUAACAGGGAGCUGGCCCUCCUGCAUAACCCACUGUGUUCAGCUCAGCAAACAGGCUUCCCACUGUCUGCAUUCAACCUGCCCACACUGUCCCAGCUUACAUAAAGUUCAUUGAUCCCUAAGGGUAGCCUGGCCAAGGUCAACUGCCUGACUUGCUGUUAGGAUGGCUCUCCAGAGAAACUGUCCAGAAGUUGAUGGUCCAUAUUGCCUCUUCACAAGCAAGAGUUAAUGCAACCACAUUGUCAGUCAAUACCCCAGAGAUGCAAAGCAGACUCCAUCACAUUAUAUUCAAUCCCAAAGCCCCACAGGGAAACCUUUCCACUGAGAUGCCAGGCUGAAGUUGGCAGAAUUUAAGAUUAUGCCUGAAAUGAAGCAGAAAAUUGCUUCUGUUUUAUUUCUAAGCUACAUGUUACUCCAGUGACCAGAUAUUCCACAUUAAAAGUGCACUGGAAACUACCCAGAAACCGAGGUGUGGCAUUAAUUCUACCUCCUUUCUAUAGUCUGAGUGGUUAGCUGGUGCCCAGCAGUCUUAAGAAGAUUAAAUAUCACUUUAGUUUCAAAAGCCUUCUGUUCUGACUAUAAAAAUACUACCACUGCAAUAAUAAUACAGCUGAUUGUAAAGCUUCAAUGUUUGGCUUGGAUUAAUACUGCUGCUACUUCAUUUCACAGGGAAAGUAGCACAGUGGUGUUAUCUCCUCCAGACAAGAAGGGUUAAUUACCCAUUAUUCAUUACAGCAAUUGUGGUUUUGCUUCCCUGAUGGAAAAUUUGUGUUGUUUUCUGCUUCAUAAACAAUGGGAUAAUCUUAUCAAAAGAAAAAAAAUGACCUCUGAUAGCAGAUUUUUUUUCCUCCAUUAACCUUUUCAAAAAAGGAAAAGCAUUAAAAAGUGCAGAAAUACUUUUAGCUAGUGAUUUAUUUAUUUAUUAAGGUUAAAAAGCUACUGUGGAGCCAGUAAAGCUGGAGGACAUGCCCAUCUCCCUAGCUGAACACCACAGUACUCUUCUGCAGGAGACAGCUCACAGAAGAGACUUUCAGGGAGGUGUUAUCUGAAAACCAUCCAAGCCCCUUUCCGCUUUCUCACCUUCAAAGAGGAAAAGUAGAGCAGACAGCAUGGCACUUGCCAGGCUCUAUGUCCUUCACCACCACCAGGAAGGUGACCUCCCCUGCUGAUGGCCCAGGACUUCAUCUGUGAAAUGGGGAGUAAGAGUUUCCCACCAACUGGGAGUAACAUGAGGAUAAAUACAGCCAAACUGUGUGCCUCUCUGGUACCGACAGAGAUGCAGAGAGACAGGCAUGUUGUUUUAGUCAAGUGUGUGUAACUCACUUAAAUUUACCAUGCAGUUUCAACUUGCAAUCCCAUAUUUCCUGUCCUAAUCUCAUACACAAUGUGCCACUUGUGCUGUUAGGCAGCUUCUCUGUGGCUGCUCCAUAGCAAUGGGCAAAUUGAUUCCUACAGGAAAGGCCAGACUCGGAGAAAUACUUCCAGAUACAUACACAGUUUCCACUGUUCUAAAAUGGGAGUAGCUGUUGUGCUCAGGAGUAACAACUGGUGGAAGAAAAAGGCAUAGGUAUAAGGCACAGAGGAGCUUCCCAGUCUCAGCUCUGCCCAAUGCCUCUGAGUAAAUGCAAGCAAGUUCUUUGCACCUCUUACUGUCUCAAGAGUUUGCCUGUAGUAAUAUUGAUUCUGCCUUUUCUGCUCUUCCUACAAUUACUGAUUCUUUGGGCAAGGGUUGCUAAACUGUCCACAGUCAAUUGUGCAACAGGACCCUUCUACAAAGAGUUAGUAAUAACUAAGAGUAACACUGGUAUUCCUUUAGGGAAAAGGCUAAGUGAAAACUCCUUCUAGCAACCCCUACAGCACAAGAGCAACCUCACAGAACUACCACAGUCUUGGUCAAAGCACAUUAAAAUCCAUUAAAAUGUUUCACUGGCUUCAGAGUACAAUGGAUGAAGGACAUUACUGUGAACAACACUGACAGACCCAACAACUCAAAACUGUUCUCCAGUGACCAUUUCCUUGAAGGGCUGAAAUGUUCUCCAUCAUCUCAAUGGACUCUAUCCACAAGAUCGAAGCAAUGCCACAGAAAAACAAAACAGAAUACACAGAAAUACUCCAUAAAAAGGAAUGGAAAGCACAAGCUCCCGACUGCCAGAGCUGAGAAAAUUGGACAAAUGCUUUGCCUUCAGCAACAAACAUCCCCUGCAGGAAUGGUGGACAGUGUGAAGCCACUCCAGCAGGGGCAAUUCACCUGAUAAAAGGAUGACAAACCUGAGACAGAGACAAGGAGGUGAAGUUCCAGUGGGAAUCAGGGAAAUGCUGUUUGAGAAGGCAUCAACUAGUCUCAUAGAGAAGACCCUUCAUGCCAGAUAACAGUCACUCCCUGCCUGCAGCACUGCCCUUCAGGCCACAGCACGUGUAUUCUUUUGAGAGCUCCAGUGAAAUAUGAGUGAGAGGCACAGAUUAGAAUCUGGCCUGGAAUUAUGAUUUGAACUCUGCAAAAACGGAUACAGCAGGUCAAAUUCUCCUCUCGGUUACACCGGAGCAGCAUUCCAGCAGAGAACAGCAAAUCCAGCUCAGAUGCAUGGAGGAGACUUAUCCAGAACAACAGAAUGGGGCAGAUGAUCAGAAAAAGGAUGGAGCAAAGGACGUCCCCUCUUCAGAGAGCCAGCUUCAACCUUUUAACUGCUUCAUUAUGGUUUGUAUAAAACUCUGACAAAUAUGUACUCACCCAGGGCACCUGAAAAUUUACUCUGAGGGUCUAUGUGAAAUGAUCCCAAAUCACUACCAUGGGUAAAUUGUGCCUUAGGUGAAUAUAAAUUCACUUGACAAACACUCAGUUCUGACCCCAAGAUUCCUGUUUCCAAGCUUUUCUGAUACAUACAUCAGCAAACAAAUGGCUUAUAUAUUUGAGUUUGACUCCAAACAAAAUUUAAAAUAAUCCAUGUCAUGAAAUAAAA